GGGAGGCAGCAGUGGGGAAUAUUGCACAAUGGGCGAAAGCCUGAUGCAGCGACGCCGCGUGAGGGAUGACGGCCUUCGGGUUGUAAACCUCUUUCAGUAGGGAAGAAGCGAAAGUGACGGUACCUGCAGAAGAAGCGCCGGCUAACUACGUGCCAGCAGCCGCGGUAAUACGUAGGGCGCAAGCGUUAUCCGGAAUUAUUGGGCGUAAAGAGCUCGUAGGCGGUUUGUCGCGUCUGCCGUGAAAGUCCGGGGCUCAACUCCGGAUCUGCGGUGGGUACGGGCAGACUAGAGUGAUGUAGGGGAGACUGGAAUUCCUGGUGUAGCGGUGAAAUGCGCAGAUAUCAGGAGGAACACCGAUGGCGAAGGCAGGUCUCUGGGCAUUAACUGACGCUGAGGAGCGAAAGCAUGGGGAGCGAACAGGAUUAGAUACCCCGGUAGC
rnacentral:rRNA from 1 species